AUUGAACGCUGGCGGCAGGCUUAACACAUGCAAGUCGAGCGGAGAUGAGGUGCUUGCACCUUAUCUUAGCGGCGGACGGGUGAGUAAUGCUUAGGAAUCUGCCUAUUAGUGGGGGACAACAUUCCGAAAGGAAUGCUAAUACCGCAUACGUCCUACGGGAGAAAGCAGGGGAUCUUCGGACCUUGCGCUAAUAGAUGAGCCUAAGUCGGAUUAGCUAGUUGGUGGGGGUAAAGGCCUACCAAGGCGACGAUCUGUAGCGGGUCUGAGAGGAUGAUCCGCCACACUGGGUCUGAAACACGGCCCAGACUCCUACGGGAGGCAGCAGUGGGGAAUAUUGGACAAUGGGGGGAACCCUGAUCCAGCCAUGCCGCGUGUGUGAAGAAGGCCUUAUGGUUGUAAAGCACUUUAAGCGAGGAGGAGGCUACUGAGACUAAUACUCUUGGAUAGUGGACGUUACUCGCAGAAUAAGCACCGGCUAACUCUGUGCCAGCCGCCGCCGUAACAC
rnacentral:rRNA from 1 species